GCCUGGCUGGCUCAGUACAUGGAGCAUAUGACUCUUGAUCUCAGGGCUGUGGGUUCGAGCCCUACGUUGGGUG
rnacentral:tRNA from 1 species